rnacentral:rRNA from 1 species
CCUACGGGAGGCAGCAGUGAGGAAUAUUGGUCAAUGGACGAGAGUCUGAACCAACCAAGUAGCGUGAAGGAUGACUGCCCUAUGGGUUGUAAACUUCUUUUAUAUGGGAAUAAAAUGUUCCACGUGUGGGAUUUUGUAUGUACCAUAUGAAUAAGGAUCGGCUAACUCCGUGCCAGCAGCCGCGGUAAUACGGAGGAUCCGAGCGUUAUCCGGAUUUAUUGGGUUUAAAGGGAGCGUAGGUGGAUUGUUAAGUCAGUUGUGAAAGUUUGCGGCGCAACCGUAAAAUUGCAGUUGAAACUGGCAGUCUUGAGUACAGUAGAGGUGGGCGGAAUUCGUGGUGUAGCGGUGAAAUGCUUAGAUAUCACGAAGAAAUCCGAUUGCGAAGGCAGUUCACUGGACUGCAACUGACACUGAGGCUCGAAAGUGUGGGUAUCAAACAGGAUUAGAUACCCCGGUAGUC